ensembl:lncRNA
GACACACAUCCAACGCAAAUUUAACAACUACUAUCUCCAAAAGAUCCUUUAUCAUACCCCAAGGACUGCACAUCUGCUUCCUCACAGACUCAAUAUGUCGAGAUAUUAAAGACUACAUGCCAAAUGCACAAUGCUGGAAAUAAUGGCUUUCAGUAGCCCUACUAAAAUACCACGUGUGGAGGGAGAAGAAUUUUUGAGAAUCAGAGAGAAGUUCUGUUUAUUAGCAGUAAGUAUUAGGUAUGUUUGUAAUGUUAUGUGAUGUGCAGUGGACGUGUAUUUAUUGUUUUUUGUGUUUUGUGUAGUAUGCGGUGUUGGAUGAGACAGUGUGCAAAGGGGAUUUGCAGAAGGAUUUGACAGAGCUAGGAGUGAAGGUCAUGAGGAAAGUAUCUGCAAUGGAUGCAGAAAGAAAAUAUCUGCGUAAGGAGUUGGCAGACACAGUCUGCAGGUUGAAGAAUACAGAAAAGGAGCUGGAAGUGGCAAGGGCCUCCCUGGAUUUUCAGGGAGAUGAUAUUUUGGAAGAUGGCAGAGAAGAUGGGAGUGAAAUUGAAGACUUGGAUAUUGUGGAAGAAGUGAAUGUAGAUGAAUAA